rnacentral:rRNA from 1 species
UACGUAGGGUGCGAGCGUUGUCCGGAAUUAUUGGGCGUAAAGGGCUCGUAGGCGGUUUGUCGCGUCGGGAGUGAAAACACCGGGCUUAACUCGGUGCUGGCUUUCGAUACGGGCAGACUAGAGGUAUUCAGGGGAGAACGGAAUUCCUGGUGUAGCGGUGAAAUGCGCAGAUAUCAGGAGGAACACCGGUGGCGAAGGCGGCAUCCUGGACCGGCAUUGACGCUGAGGCGCGAAAGCCAGGGGAGCAAACGGG